GACGAAGGGGGCUAGCGUUGUUCGGAAUUACUGGGCGUAAAGCGCGUGUAGGCGGUUGCCCAAGUCAGGGGUGAAAGCCUUGAGCUCAACUCAAGAAAUGCACUUGGUACUGGGUGGCUAGAGGACCGGAGAGGAUAGUGGAAUUCCCAGUGUAGUGGUGAAAUACGUAGAGAUUGGGAAGAACACCAGUGGCGAAGGCGGCCGACUGGUCCGGUUCUGACGCUGAGGCGCGAAAGCGUGGGGAGCAAACAGG
rnacentral:rRNA from 1 species